GCGUGCUGGUCGAGGCGUGCGACGGCGCGGGCCGGGUGCGCGGGCUGCUCUCGUUCAGCCCGUGGGGCACGCAC
rnacentral:tRNA from 1 species